UGUUUCUUAAUUAGGGGCUGGAAUGAAGGAGGCGACGAAAGCUAGACUAUCAAGAUUUUAGUGUAAGUUGACAGCCGGGUUAAAAGGCCCGGGUGGACCGGGGGGACGACAAGACCCUAUAAAACUUUACCUUUGGCGCGGGGUUAAAUGGGGCGGGCCCCGCGCUUAAUGGUUUCGCUGGGGCGGCGUAGGCACAAACAGCUUAAGGUUUAAUAUGUUAAAUAACGUGGUAGAACUCGUAGAGAAAUAGAAUAAGUUACUUUAGGGAUAACAGCGUAAUUGCCCUAGAGAGUCCUUAUUGACAGGGCAGCUUACGACCUCGAUGUUGAAUUGGGACCCCUCUUGUAAGCAAAGAUACACGAAGACAGUCUGUUCGACUAUUAAACUCCC
rnacentral:rRNA from 1 species